UACGAAGGGGGCUAGCGUUGUUCGGAAUCACUGGGCGUAAAGCGCUCGUAGGCGGAUCUUUAAAUCAGGGGUGAAAUCCCGAGGCUCAACCUCGGAACUGCCUUUGAUACUGGGGAUCUCGAGUCCGGGAGAGGUGAGUGGAACUGCGAGUGUAGAGGUGAAAUUCGUAGAUAUUCGCAAGAACACCAGUGGCGAAGGCGGCUCACUGGCCCGGUACUGACGCUGAGGAGCGAAAGCGUGGGGAGCAAACAGG
rnacentral:rRNA from 1 species